UUUUGUAAAGGAAGAAGCCGUUUCAAAUGAUCCGAGGAACCCGCCAUUUCCGGAUCGCGAGACAUUUUUGGGACAUGCUGUAUAUUAUUAACUGACUGUAUAUAUGUUGACUGAUACAUUAACUGAGUAUAUAUUAUUAUGGCUCUAUAUUAUUAUUAACGCUGUUGCAAAACGUUGCGAGGGCAAAAAAGUGCGGAGCAAGACAAAUGAAAAUGAUCGUUUAGUUCAAACGGUGAGCGAAUGAGUCAGCAGAGCGAGCCACUAUAGCGGCGCGUUAUAAAUAAGCUGGCAUCGUACCUAAGAGGUUAAACGACUUCCCGAGACGGACGAGUUAACCCUUUUAGUGCCGGGCGAAAAAGAGGGAGGCGAGACUCGUUCAACAACACGUUGAAAACGGGGCACGAUUUAGGAACUUGUUCUUUUUUUCAAGGGAAACCGUAUUGCGUUCGCUGACCAAAUCUGUCGUCCAGAUAGUUCAGAGCUAAGUAAACUUAUAUAGUAACUUUAUAAUUUAUUUCAACUGUCUUCGUAACAUUUUGGCACGUACAGAUUACAUUCUAGGACAUCGGUGGAAAUUUGUUCGAGAAUUCGACUCGCUGCACCGCCGUGAUUCUAAACCUGCUCGACGAUCGACGAUCUCACCGACUGUACGAUCCGUCCCGAAGAAAUUCGACGUUUUCAACACCGGUUGCACGAGCUGCUCCCUCAAGUGUGUCACUGCUACGAUUAACCCGUCGCCGUACCAUUUUCUUUGCGAUUGCGACGAUCAGAACAUUUUCGAACGCGAUCAUUUAUUCGAUGAAAAUGAAACUUUGUAUUUGUCGCGUGUUCACGUCCACUCGAAUGUUUAAAUAUCGGAGACUUAAACGGAAUUUAAGUACGGCAAGGGGUUAAGAACGGUUAAGAACGAAAGUACAGUGAAUUUUGUCCGAUCGUCGUUCAGUUUGAAGCUGAAAAUAGACGUAAAUAUUUUAAUAAUUAGAUCAUGAUAGAUUAUAAUUUGAUAAAAUUGAAUAACUUGAGAAGAGGGGACACGAUUUGUCGCGCUUUUGCUUUUAUAAUUGUUGACAAUCCGCUCCCUCUUCCCAAGUCGUCCAUUUUCGUUUCCAUCCUGAACGACAAUUCGAGAGAAUUUACCGUGCCGAAGACGAAAGCUACUGAAUCGUUCGGGGUGAUUAAUGUCGUGCUCGGCAUGGAGAUUAAACGUUCUGUCGUUUAUUUUUGUCAA